GAUGAAGAACGCAGCGAAAUGCGAUAGGUAAUGUGAAUUGCAGAAUUCAGUGAAUCAUCGAAUCUUUGAACGCACAUUGCGCCCAUUAGUAUUCUAGUGGGCAUGCCUGUUCGAGCGUCAUUAAGUCCACUUAAGCCCUGCUUAGUGUUGGGAGACUGCUCCAGCGGUGCUACCCUGUAGCUACCCUGCAGCUCCUCAAAGACAGCGGCGGAGUUGUGGUAUCCUCUGAGCUUAGUAACUUGUUCUAGCUUUCGAGUACACCACUUCCCCUGCCGUAAAACCCUUAAUUUUUAAUGGUUGACCUCGGAUCAGGUAGGAAUACCCGCUGAACUUAAGCAUAUCAAUAAGCGGAGGA
rnacentral:misc_RNA from 1 species